rnacentral:tRNA from 1 species
AAUAGUGUAAUCUAAUAAAGAUGUUUCAUUGAUGGAGAAAAUAUAGAAUGAUUUCUUACUAUUA